rnacentral:rRNA from 1 species
UUUGUAAAUGGCCGCAGUAUUCUGACUGUGCUAAGGUAGCAUAAUCAUUAGUCUUUUAAUUGGAGGCUGGUAUGAAUGACGAGACGAGAAAAUGACUGUCUCUAUAAUAAACUUUGAAUUUCAUUUCUGAGUGAAAAAGCUCAGAUAAUUUUGAAGGACGAUCAGACCCUUUGGAGCUUUAUUUACUUUAAAAAUUUGAAUUUGUUUUAAUUGAUUGAAUGGAAAGUAAAUUUUGUUGGGGCGACAGGGAGUAAAAUAUAACACUCUUUUUUUAAAACAAUCCUAAUUGGAAAAUUGAUCCUUAGAGUGAGAUUACAAGAAUAAGUUACCCUAGGGAUAACAGCGUAAUCUUUUUGGAGAGUUCAAAUCGAUAAAAAGGUUUGCGACCUCGAUGUUGGAUUAAGAGAUUGGCAAGGUGCAGAAGUUUUGCUGGAAAGUCUGUUCGACUUUUAAUCUCUUACAUGAUCUGAGUUCAA